rnacentral:rRNA from 1 species
AGAGUUGUAUCCUGGCUCAGGAUGAACGCUGACAGAAUGCUUAACACAUGCAAGUCUACUUGAAGCACUUUCGGGUGUGGAUGGUGGCGGACGGGUGAGUAACGCGUAAAUAACUUGCCCCCUAGUCUGGGACAACUGUUGGAAACGACAGCUAAUACUAGAUAUUAUGAGACCUUGGCAUCAAGGACUUAUGAAAGCUAUAUGCGCUAGGGGAGAGAUUUGCGUCCUAUUAGCUAGUUGGUGAGGUAAUGGCUCACCAAGGCGACGAUAGGUAGCCGGCCUGAGAGGGUGAACGGCCACAAGGGGACUGAGACACGGCCCUUACUCCUACGGGAGGCAGCAGUGGGGAAUAUUGGACAAUGGACCAAAAGUCUGAUCCAGCAAUUCUGUGUGCUUGAUGAAGGCCUUCGGGUUGUAAAGAGCUUUAAGUAGGGAAGAAGAAAGUGAC